rnacentral:rRNA from 1 species
GACGAACGCUGGCGGCGUGCUUAACACAUGCAAGUCGAACGGAAAGAGAUGAAAGAGCUUGCUCUUUUAUUAAUUUCAGUGGCAAACGGGUGAGUAACACGUAAACAACCUGCCUUAAGGAUGGGGAUAACAGACGGAAACGACUGCUAAUACCGAAUACGUUCUAAGCAUCGCAUGAUGCAUAGAAGAAAGGGUGGCCUCUACAAGAAAGCUAUCGCCUUAAGAGGGGUUUGCGACUGAUUAGGUAGUUGGUGAGGUAACGGCUCACCAAGCCGACGAUCAGUAGCCGGUCUGAGAGGAUGAACGGCCACACUGGAACUGAGACACGGUCCAGACUCCUACGGGAGGCAGCAGUGGGGAAUCUUCCGCAAUGGACGAAAGUCUGACGGAGCAACGCCGCGUGAACGAAGAAGGUCUUCGGAUUGUAAAGUUCUGUGAUUCGGGACGAAAGGGUAAAUAGUGAAUAACUAUAGACAUUGACGGUACC